UACGAAGGGGGCUAGCGUUGCUCGGAAUCACUGGGCGUAAAGGGUGCGUAGGCGGGUCUUUAAGUCAGGGGUGAAAUCCUGGAGCUCAACUCCAGAACUGCCUUUGAUACUGAGGAGCUUGAGUUCGGGAGAGGUGAGUGGAACUGCGAGUGUAGAGGUGAAAUUCGUAGAUAUUCGCAGGAACACCAGUGGCGAAGGCGGCUCACUGGCGCGAUACUGACGCUGAGGAACGAAAGCUAGGGGAGCAAACAGG
rnacentral:rRNA from 1 species